rnacentral:rRNA from 1 species
AGUGAACGCUGGCGGUAGGCCUAACACAUGCAAGUCGAACGGCAGCACAGUAAGAGCUUGCUCUUACGGGUGGCGAGUGGCGGACGGGUGAGGAAUACAUCGGAAUCUACUUUUUCGUGGGGGAUAACGUAGGGAAACUUACGCUAAUACCGCAUACGACCUACGGGGGAAAGCAGGGGAUCUUCGGACCUUGCGCGAAUGAAUGAGCCGAUGUCGGAUUAGCUAGUUGGCGGGGUAAAGGCCCACCAAGGCGACGAUCCGUAGCUGGUCUGAGAGGAUGAUCAGCCCCACUGGAACUGAGACACGGUCCAGACUCCUACGGGAGGCAGCAGUGGGGAAUAUUGGACAAUGGGCGCAAGCCUGAUCCAGCCAUACCGCGUGGGUGAAGAAGGCCUUCGGGUUGUAAAGCCCUUUUGUUGGGAAAGAAAAGCAGCAGGUUAAUACCCCGCUGUUCUGACGGUACCCAAAGAAUAAGCACCGGCUAACUUCGUG